rnacentral:tRNA from 1 species
GUAGUUCAGUUGGUUAGAAUACCGGCCUGUCACGCCGGGGGUCGCGGGUUCGAGUCCCGUCCGCUGCGCCA